rnacentral:rRNA from 1 species
CGCGUGCACUGGUCCGGCCGGGCCUUUCCUUCUGUGGAACCCCAUGCCCUUCACUGGGUGUGGCGGGGAAACAGGACUUUUACUUUGAAAAAAUUAGAGUGCUCCAGGCAGGCCUAUGCUCGAAUACAUUAGCAUGGAAUAAUAAAAUAGGACGUGUGGUUCUAUUUUGUUGGUUUCUAGGACCGCCGUAAUGAUUAAUAGGGACAGUCGGGGGCAUCAGUAUUCAGUUGUCAGAGGUGAAAUUCUUAGAUCUACUGAAGACUAACUACUGCGAAAGCAUUUGCCAAGGAUGUUUUCAUUAAUCAGGAACGAAAGUUAGGGGAUCGAAGACGAUCAGAUACCGUCGUAGUCUUAACCAUAAACUAUGCCGACUAGGGAUCGGACGAUGUUAUUUUUUGACUCGUCCGGCACCUUACGAGAAAUCAAAGUGCUUGGGCUCCAGGGGGAGUAUGGUCGCAAGGCUGAAACUUAAAGAAAUUGACGGAAGGGCACCACCAGGGGUGGAGCCUGCGGCUUAAUUUGACUCAACACGGGGAAACUCACCAGGUCCAGACACAAUAAGGAUUGACAGAUUGAGAGCUCUUUCUUGAUUUUGUGGGUGGUGGUGCAUGGCCGUCCUUAGUUGGUGGAGUGAUUUGUCUGCUUAAUUGCGAUAACGAACGAGACCUUAACCUGCUAACUAGCCCGUAUUGCUCAGGCAGUACGCCGGCUUCUUAGAGGGACUAUCGG